rnacentral:lncRNA from 1 species
UUAUCACACUUCAUAGCAAAGUCAAUUGCUUGACUCAAUGUUUGAGGAUAAGAUAAGUUGAGCAUCAAUUUCUUUACUUCAUACUAUAAUCUAUAGAGAAAUUGGCUAAUAAAUGCAGCAUUACUCUACUUGAUAUCAAUUACAAGUUAUCAAAAUUGUGAAGCAUAUAAUGUUACAAAUUGAUUGCUUUGUCAUAAAAUACAAAUCAUAUUGCAAUACAAGUUGUAUCAUGUUUUCCAUACAUGGAUCAAAAUUCUUCUAAAAAAGCCUCAAAAUUAAAUAGUAUUGGAUCUCGUUGUUCAAGAAAAGAUGAAAACCUUAAUAACAAUAAAUCUAAAAGAAGUCUAUUAAUAAAUCUAACUUGUGAUCCUAGAGUUGCAUAGCUUUGAGAUUGAAGUUUAAUCACAAGUUAUACUUGAUUAAUAAAUCCUCAAAAAUUGGAUCUUGUGCCAUCAAACUUCUCAGGUAGGAUAAUUCUUGGUUUUCUAGUACUGGUGUUGUAUUACAUGGCGUUUGGUUUAAGAAUGCACCGAGAACUUGGUUGUAGAGGAUAAAAAGAAAAAUUAUAACAAAAAGCCCUAACAAUCCUAACCAAAUCCUAGAUAAAUCUUAACCAAAUCCUAAUCAAAACCUAAUCAAACCCUAAACAAUCCUAAAUAAAUCCUAACCAAAUCUUAACCAAAUCCUAAACAAUCAUAAAUAAAUUCUAAUCAAAUUCUAAACAAACUCUAAAAAAAUCCUAUCGAAAUCCUAGGCAAAUUCUAACCAAACCAUAAACAAAUUCUAACCAAAUUCUAAUCCUAAAUCAAAUCCUAACUAAAUCUUAAUCCUAAUCAAAUCCUAAAUCCUAAACCAAAUCUUAACUAAAUCUUAAAAAAAUCCUAAAUAAUUCUAAAAAAGCCUAAUCAAGCCCUAAUCAAAACCUAAAUAAUCUUAAAUAAAUCCUAAUCUUAAAUCAAAUCCUAAUCAAAUCCUAAACAUUAAAUCAAAUCUUAAUUCAAUCCUAAUCUUAAAUCAAACCUUAACUAAAUUCUUAAUCCUAAAUCAAAUUAUAACCAAAUCCUAUUCAAAACCUAAAUAACCUUAAAUAAAUCCUAAUCCUAAAUCAAACCCUAACCAAAUCCUAAAUCCAAAUCCUAAACAAAUCCUAACCAAAUCCUAAACAAAUCCUAAUAAUUCUUAUAGCAGAUUCAAACCUAAAUAAUUAAUGAAUGAACUAUUGAAUUUCACUCAAAAUUUGUAUUUUUCUUAACAAUAAAGUUGAAAACAAUUACAAAAAAUUUGAAAAGAAUCAAAAUUACUAAAUAGAC